rnacentral:rRNA from 1 species
AUGGGAACGCGAAGAACCUUACCUACUCUUGACAUCCAGAGAACUUUCCAGAGAUGGAUUGGUGCCUUCGGGAACUCUGAGACAGGUGCUGCAUGGCUGUCGUCAGCUCGUGUUGUGAAAUGUUGGGUUAAGUCCCGCAACGAGCGCAACCCUUAUCCUUUGUUGCCAGCGGUUAGGCCGGGAACUCAAAGGAGACUGCCAGUGAUAAACUGGAGGAAGGUGGGGAUGACGUCAAGUCAUCAUGGCCCUUACGAGUAGGGCUACACACGUGCUACAAUGGCGCAUACAAAGAGAAGCGACCUCGCGAGAGCAAGCGGACCUCAUAAAGUGCGUCGUAGUCCGGAUUGGAGUCUGCAACUCGACUCCAUGAAGUCGGAAUCGCUAGUAAUCGUAGAUCAGAAUGCUACGGUGAAUACGUUCCCGGGUCUUGUACACACCGAGUCGUGGGA